rnacentral:misc_RNA from 1 species
UCAACCAUCAAGCCUGGCUUGUCAUUGGACCUCUGUGCGGCUGAAAUACGCGGCAGGUCCGAAAGAUAAUGACGGCGUUGUGUUUGACCCUAGAUGCAACGAGCUUUUCAAAGCACGCAUUGAAGUGGUCGGCCGACCCGAUCUUUAACCAUCAUUUUCUAA